rnacentral:rRNA from 1 species
GGGAGCAAUCCUGGUGGCGAGUGGCGAACGGGUGAGUAAUACAUCGGAACGUGUCCUGUAGUGGGGGAUAGCCCGGCGAAAGCCGGAUUAAUACCGCAUACGCUCUACGGAGGAAAGGGGGGGAUCUUAGGACCUCUCGCUACAGGGGCGGCCGAUGGCAGAUUAGCUAGUUGGUGGGGUAAAGGCCUACCAAGGCGACGAUCUGUAGCUGGUCUGAGAGGACGACCAGCCACACUGGGACUGAGACACGGCCCAGACUCCUACGGGAGGCAGCAGUGGGGAAUUUUGGACAAUGGGCGCAAGCCUGAUCCAGCAAUGCCGCGUGUGUGAAGAAGGCCUUCGGGUUGUAAAGCACUUUUGUCCGGAAAGAAAACUUCCUGGUUAAUACCCGGGGAGGAUGACGGUACCGGAAGAAUAAGCACCGGCUAACUACGUGCCAGCAGCCGCGGUAAUACGUAGGGUGCAAGCGUUAAUCGGAAUUACUGGGCGUAAAGCGUGCGCAGGCGGUCCGCUAAGACAGAUGUGAAAUCCCCGGGCUUAACCUGGGAACUGCAUUUGUGACUGGCGGGCUAGAGUAUGGCAGAGGGGGGUAGAAUUCCACGUGUAGCAGUGA